CUUUCUUUUAAAUCAUUGCUAAAGAGCACAAGUUUAAUAAUUGUUUACAUUUCAAAAUUGGUGUAAAAGCUGUUAUAACAGAGUGGUAAAAUAAAAAACUUCGUUAGCGGUUUGACGUUUGCAGUAAACGUCAAGCUAAAACUCUCUAAUCACAAUAAUAACCCUAUAACAUCGACCACAGGAGGCCCAGGCUCGAUUUGCCCG